GAUGAACGCUGGCGGCGUGCCUAAUACAUGCAAGUCGAGCGAACAGACGAGGAGCUUGCUCCUCUGACGUUAGCGGCGGACGGGUGAGUAACACGUGGAUAACCUACCUAUAAGACUGGGAUAACUUCGGGAAACCGGAGCUAAUACCGGAUAAUAUAUUGAACCGCAUGGUUCAAUAGUGAAAGACGGUUUUGCUGUCACUUAUAGAUGGAUCCGCGCCGCAUUAGCUAGUUGGUAAGGUAACGGCUUACCAAGGCAACGAUGCGUAGCCGACCUGAGAGGGUGAUCAGCCACACUGGAACUGAGACACGGUCCAGACUCCUACGGGAGGCAGCAGUAGGGAAUCUUCGACAAUGGGCGAAAGCUUGACGGAGCAAUGCCGCGUGAGUGAAGAAGGUCUUCGGAUCGUAAAACGCUGUUAUUAGGGAAGAACAAAUGUGUAAGUAAAUAUGCACGUCUUGACGGUACCUAAUCAGAAAGCAACGGCUAACUACGUG
rnacentral:rRNA from 1 species